AUUGAACGCUGGCGGCAUGCUUUACACAUGCAAGUCGAGCGGCAGCGCGGGGGCAACCCUGGCGGCGAGCGGCGAACGGGUGAGUAAUGCAUCGGAACGUAUCCUCGAGUGGGGGAUAACCCAGCGAAAGUUGGGCUAAUACCGCAUGAGCUCUGAGGAGGAAAGCGGGGGACCUGCGAGGGCCUCGCGCUGGAGGAGCGGCCGAUGUCCGAUUAGCUAGUUGGUGGGGUAAAGGCUUACCAAGGCGACGAUCGGUAGCUGGUCUGAGAGGAUGAUCAGCCACACUGGGACUGAGACACGGCCCAGACUCCUACGGGAGGCAGCAGUGGGGAAUUUUGGACAAUGGGGGCAACCCUGAUCCAGCCAUGCCGCGUGAGUGAAGAAGGCCUUCGGGUUGUAAAGCUCUUUCGGACGGAACGAAAUGGGCGGGACUAAUACCCCUGUCUGAUGACGGUACCGUAAGAAGAAGCACCGGCUAACUACGUG
rnacentral:rRNA from 1 species